CCCCUAUAUACAUUCUACUUUUCAUAACUUAGACCAGGAACAUAUUAAUCUCUGGAACAAUCUCUGCCUAUGUACUGAUCUACAUUAGCUCACAUAGUAAAAUAACAGGAAUGAGAAAUAUAAACAACUAGUCUGAUACAAAUGUCCGAUGUAUAUUUCAUAUAAAACUAAACUGGAAUCUGAAUGUCCUAUAUACAGUAUGCAUAAACUUGCUGCAUACUCGAAGCCGGCAACAAUAUUCAGAUUGAGACAUGAGUGACCAUGUGAUCUUCGAGAUCUCUUGGAACAUCAAACACAACAUCGCAAACACAGCAAACAUAUCCAACACCAGUUGGUUCUGUUGCUUCAAGUUCUUGACAUAAACCACAUUGAUAGUUCCCAUCAUUGCCAUGGUAUCUUGCUAUAUGUUGAACCAAUGUCAUACAAUUAGAAAACCGCCUGUUACAUUUGUUACAAGCGUACUUUCCAGUGUUUUUAUCCUGAACAAAAUGUUCUUGCAAAUUUUGUGGUUCAAUAAUCUCCAUGUGGCAACUAUUGCAAAACAAAUGCGCCUUUUUGUGCCAAUUAAGACUGUUUAAUUGUAUAAAUCUCUUCUUGCAAACGUCAUAUUCAUAAGGCUUUUCUCCAGUGUGUGUUCUUUUAUGUGAUGCUAAAUUAGAUGAAUGUCUAAAACUCUUCUUGCAAACUUCACAUUCAUAAGGCUUGUCUCCAGUGUGUGUUCUUUUAUGUGAUGCUAAAUGACCUGAAUGGUUAAAUCUCUUCUUACAAACAUCACAUAGAUAAGGUUUGUCUCCAGUAUGUCUUUUUUUAUGGUAUACCAAGCUGUUCGAAUAUGUAAACUUCAUCUUACAAACAUCACAUUCAUAAGGCUUAUCUUCAGUGUGUGUUCGUCUAUGUGAUGCUAAAUUACCUGAAUGUUUAAAUCUCUUCUUGCCAACUUUAUAUUCAUAAGGCUUGUCUCCAGUGUGUGUUCUGUUAUGCACAGCUAAAUGAUCUGAUCUCUUAUAUCUUCUCUUCUCACAAAGAUCACAUUCAAAAGGUUUCUUUUCAUUUCGUGUUCCUCCUUGAUUCACCGAGCUGCCUGAUGUUAAAAAUCUCUGCUCAGAAUGAUCAGACAUUUUUAUUAAUGAAUUAUAAUCAAAACUAUAUCCAACUAUAUGUCUAUAUCCGACCCAAAAUCAAUGAAAUUAUAAUAGUAUAAACAUUCGAAUCAAAAUGAACUGAAUUUUAUUUUUAUUUCGG